AGCUCUAGCUCUUGCUCCUUCGCCUGCUUGCUUCGUGAGACUGAGUAACUACUAGAUCCUUGGACUUCCAUUCACAGCUGCGACUGAACAAUUGUUGGGAGUUGGGCUGCCAACUUAGAUCACAUUGAUGGAUAUUGAACUAUCCCUGCAUCCCUGGAAAGAAGUCUACUUGAUCAAACUAGACUUAUAAAGAAUAAGAGUUAAAACACGCACGGAAACCACUGAGAGUGGAAGAGAGAUGUCACCAGUGGACCGAAGCCAGGACAGCUCCUGCAAGUCUUUGCUAACAGCUGGCUUUAAACCACAGACCCAUCAACCUGGAGGAGGAACGGAGAGGAGAUAAAAGGCAGCAGUAGAGUCUAAACAGGAGCCAACAGCCUCUGUUCUAUUUUCUUAAACUCUUCUGUUCUAGACAGAAUCUAGGCACACAGCUCAAGAUGGAAUUGAUGUCUCUCCCCCUUGCUCUUUCUCUCCCUCUCUGCAUCUCUUCCCAUUUUCCCAGGCAGGCUUCAAAUCCAAUACAAAGCCAAGGAUGACCUGAACCCCUCCCUCUUUAAAAUAUAUUAAUCAUUUUAUUUGUUUACAUUUCAAAUGUUAUCACCCUUCCUGCUCUCCCCUCCCUGAGGCCUCCCCUAUGCCCCCUCCCCACCCAGCCACUCCCACCAUAUCCCUCUAGUAUCCCCCUUCUCUGGGGUAUCAAGCCUCCACAGGACCAAGUGCCACCCCUUCCACUGUCACCAGACGAGUUAGUUCUCUGCUACAUAAGUAUUGGGAGCCAUGAACCAGCCCCUUAUACUCUUUGGCCGGUAGCUUAGCUCCUGGGAGCUCUGAGUGGUCUGGUUAAUUGAUACUGUUGUUCUUCCUGUGGGAUAGCCAUGCCCUUCAGGUCCUUCAGCCCUUCCCCUAACUCUUCCAUUGGGGUCCCCACACUCAGUCCAAUGGUUGCUGUGAGUUUCUCCAUCUGUCUUAGUCAGUUGCUGGCAGAGGCUCUCAGAGGACAGCCAUACAAGUCUCCUGUCUCUAAGUACUUCUUGGCAUCAGCAGUAUUUUUGGGGUUUGGUGUCUGUGGAUAGAAUACAGUGGGAUAGUCUCUGGAUGGCCUUUCCUUCAACCUCUGCUCCAUUUUUGUUCCUAAAUUUCCUUUAGACAGAGACAAUUCUCAGUAAAAAUUUUUUUAGAUGGGUGGGUGGCUCCAUCCAUCAACUGAGUGCCAUGUUAGUCUCUUCAGGUUCCAUCUCCCUUGUAUUUCAGCUAUUGUUAUCCCCAUUGAGUCCUAGGAACCAUUUGAAUUCCUGGCAUCUGGGACUUUCUAGUGGUUCUCCAAGUUCCCCAACCCCCACUGCUACUUAUUUCUACUCAUUCUCCUGUACCUCUAGACGUCUCUCCUGUCUCAUCCCAUACCUGAUCCUGUCCUUUCUUUCUUCCCCUCCCUUUCCCCCUCCCACCGAGAUCCCCCCUUCCUCUGCCUGCCAUAAUUAUUUUGUUCCCCCUUCUAAGUAGGUUUGAAGCACCCACACUUUGGUCUUCCUUCUUGUUAAACUUCAUAUGUUUUUUGAGUUGUAUCAUGGGUAUUCUGAGCUUUUGGGUAAAAUCCACUUAUCAGUGAGUACAUACCAUGCAUGUCCUUUUGGGUUUGUGUUACCUCACUCAAGAUGAUAUUUUCUAGUUCCAUCCAUUUGCCUACAAAGUUCAUGAAGUCAUCAUUUUAAUAGCUGAGUAGUAUUCCAUUAUGUAAAUGUGCCACAAUCUGUAUCCAUUCUUCUAUUGAGGGAUAUCUGGGGUGUUUUCAGCUUCUGGUUAUUAUAAAUUAGGCUUCACUGAACACAGUGAAGCAUGUGUCUUUAUUAUGUGUUGGAGCAUCUUUUGAGUAUAAGUUCAGGAGUGGUAUACCUGGAUCUUUAGUUAGAGCUUGUCACAAUUUUAUGAGUAAUCUCCAGAUUGAUUUCCAAAGUGGUUGUACUAGCUUGCAAUCCCACUAGCAAUGGAGGAGUGUUCCUCUUUCUCCACAUCUUCACCAGUAUCUGCUGUCACCUUAGUUUUUUAUCUUAGCUAUUCUGACAGGUAUAAGGUGGAAUCCCAGGGUCAUUUUGAUUUGCAUUUUGCUUAUGACUAAGGAAUUUGAACAUUUCUGUAGGUGUUUCUCAGCCACUCAGUAUUCCUCAGACAGCCAUCAGUGGAAAGAGAGGCCCAUUGGUCCUGCAAACUUUAUAUGUCUCAGUACAUGGGAACGCCAAGGCCAAGAAGUAGGAGUGGGAGGGUGGGGGAGCAGAUGGGGGAGCAUGUGGGGGACAUUUGGGAUAACAUUGGAAAUGUAAAUGAAAUAAAUGCCUAAUAAAUAAAAGG
rnacentral:lncRNA from 1 species